GGCGACACUUUCGAAUUGACGGGGAUACCCUAAAGCCUGUCGCACCAACUCUGUGUGGGAAACCGCUGGAGGGCCCGUGCUAACUACACGGGGUGGUAACAGACGACACGGAUACCUCCACGCCUUUUUUGGUGUAGAUACCAUGGGCAAUCCGCAGCGAAGCCUCUAAGUCCGGCCGCCGGAUAUGAGGAACGUUCACAGACUAAGUGGAAGUGGGUGGAGCGUUCGCCGCUCUGCUUAAGAUAUAGUCGGUCCCCUUGGGAAACUAAGGGGGUGAGUACACUGCUCGAAAUUUAAACUUGAGCGCAUCUCGGAUAGCGCUCGUGUUAGAAUUUCGGGACCGUCGAUUGCCUCGCGGUUCGACGGCUCUUAAAACGUUCCGUAGGUGAACCUGCGGAAGGAUCAUUACAGAAAGUAAACGCGGAUCAAACCGCGAACUUUUAAACCUUUGACGAUUGACUCAUGUUGCCUCGGCGGGUUCUCUCGCCAGAGGAUACAUCAAAACUCCUGUUUUAACGGUGUUGUCUGAGCUACAAGCAACGAAUCAAAACUUUCAACAACGGAUCUCUUGGUUCUGGCAUCGAUGAAGAACGCAGCGAAAUGCGAUAAGUAGUGUGAAUUGCAGAAUUCAGUGAAUCAUCGAAUCUUUGAACGCACAUUGCGCCCCUUGGUAUCCCGAGGGGCAUGCCUGUUCGAGCGUCAUUUCACCACUCAAGCCUGGCUUGGUGUUGGGCGACGUCCCCUUCAGGGACGCGCCUCGAAACGCUCGGCGGCGUGGCACCGGCUUUAAGCGUAGCAGAAUCUUUCGCUUCAAAAGUUGGGGCCCCGUCUGCCGGAAGACCUACUCGCAAGGUUGACCUCGGAUCAGGCAGGGAUACCCGCUGAACUUAAGCAUAUCAAUAAGCGGAGGAA
rnacentral:misc_RNA from 1 species